rnacentral:misc_RNA from 1 species
CCCUGAUCUUCGAACUCGACCAUCGAGGCGCAGUAUUAUGUAGACAUCCUCACCCGGAGUAACUCCUUCAGACUUCUGCUGAUCCCUUAUCCACCUUUCCCAUUCAAUUGGUGAUACAACCUCUGCUUUAAAGCGAAUUUCGGAUUUCAAUUUUGAUUUUGAAACUACAGAUUGAGUUCGCUUCUCAAAAUCUUCCCCAAUAGAAGGAAGAGCAGCAGCUGCCUUCACAGGAACACCAAAUCCUUUCUUCUGCACUUCUGGUUCUCUACUUUCACCCCAGAAAACAGGAACUAAGAGAACA